GAAAUUAUUAAUUUAAAUAAAAGGAUUAAUAAAUGGAAGAGUUUUGACAGUGUUGAAUGUUUGGUCUCCAAAGUAAAGGUCGAACAAGGUCAAAGUCCAUUGGAUUCUCUGACAUGUGACAUAUGUUACCCCGUAACGUGAUAACUAAGCAUGACACAUGGUCCAAACUAUUUCUUUUUAAAAGCCUAUUAACUCAACCAAUAAUUUGCAUCACUUU